rnacentral:rRNA from 1 species
UACAGAGGUCUCAAGCGUUGUUCGGAUUCAUUGGGCGUAAAGGGUGCGUAGGCUGUAGAGUAAGUCGGAUGUGAAAUCCCGGGGCUUAACCCCGGAACUGCAUUCGAUACUGCUUUACUAGAGGACUGGAGAGGAGAUUGGAAUUCACGGUGUAGCAGUGAAAUGCGUAGAUAUCGUGAGGAAGACCAGUGGCGAAGGCGAAUCUCUGGACAGAUCCUGACGCUGAGGCACGAAGGCUAGGGGAGCAAACGGG